rnacentral:rRNA from 1 species
AUUGAACGCUGGCGGCAUGCUUUACACAUGCAAGUCGAACGGCAGCGCGGGCUUCGGCCUGGCGGCGAGUGGCGAACGGGUGAGUAAUGCAUCGGAACGUGCCCAGUAGUGGGGGAUAGCCCGGCGAAAGCCGGAUUAAUACCGCAUACGACCUGAGGGUGAAAGCGGGGGACCGAAAGGCCUCGCGCUAUUGGAUCGGCCGAUGUCGGAUUAGCUAGUUGGUUGGGUAAAGGCUUACCAAGGCAACGAUCCGUAGCUGGUCUGAGAGGACGACCAGCCACACUGGGACUGAGACACGGCCCAGACUCCUACGGGAGGCAGCAGUGGGGAAUUUUGGACAAUGGGGGCAACCCUGAUCCAGCCAUGCCGCGUGCGGGAAGAAGGCCUUCGGGUUGUAAACCGCUUUUGUUCGGGAAGAAAUCCUCUGGGCUAAUACCCCGGGGGGAUGACGGUACCGGAAGAAUAAGCACCGGCUAACUACGUG